rnacentral:pre_miRNA from 2 species
UGUGCCUCAUUGAUUUUCAUUGAGCAGAUUCUAGAAGGUUCGAUGAUCAGUGAGACAGAGG